GGUUUAUUGGUGAUUCCAGUUUUCUCCUCUGGGGGUUGUUGAUAGGCUUUUGUCAUUUUUCUGUUUUUCUUAAUUGUAUCUAGGAAUUCUUUACACAGAGAUGCCACAAAGUUUAACUUUGGCCUCAGUACUCAGGAAAAGAUAUACUUGGUUUCAGCCUUGGCUUCAGGCUUUGAAAGACAGAGUAACAAAUAGCUACUUCUUUUCUGGCCCCUUCAUCAUCUGCUUGUUCAAUGGAGGUAGGACCACUCAAAUUACGAACAAGGUGUAGCCCUCGAAUUGGCUAUUAACAUCUGAAUACAUACUAAGUAUUCAUUUUCAAACUUAGGAGAGCAGUCUAGAUGUAACUUGGAAUAAAAACCUCCAUGGGCUUCUACAGGCUGUUAAAAUAUAAGCAUAUUUAUGUGUUUCAAUAAUAAAAUGUUGAAAUAUGCUGAUUUUGAAAGCUGUUAAUUUGCUGUACAAAAAUUAUUAAGAACUUUCAAACAGUUAAACAAUGUUAGCAGUUAUUAGGAAUAAGAGAGAGUGCAUUAGAUAGAUAACACUAACAAGAACAUAAUAUCCGUUUUCAGCCAGCAAAUGUUUAUAAAAUUUUAAAUGCUAAUAAAACAGGAGAAUAAUAGAAAUUAGAUUAUAUCACAAUGCUAAUCUUUAGAAGCAUUAAGAGCUAUAUUUAAUUUUUUGUUAUUUAAUUCAGCUUAGGCCAGAGUCUUUCAAGAAAAAAAGUCUUAUUAGAGAAGUCUUCAUAUCUCGUGAGGAUGAAUUAAAAGCAGAAUCUCAACUUUGCUACCUUUAAAUGUCACGGAGAGAAAAAACUGCAAAACCAUGUGCAACAAUAUCCAUGAUAAAUCAUCUUUGAUCUCAACAUAACGGAGACUAUAAGGAGUAUAAAGACUAGAAGAAAGAGUAGAAGGUGAUCCACAAUCAAUUCAGAACCUGGUCUUCUAUGGUGGCUCACAGUUCCUGCACCCUACAAUAUCGUGCACCUCUCUCUAAAUCUACUGAAACGUGCAGCCUUCUUUUGGAAGAGAAAGAUUCUGAUAUUCAUUAACAAUUAAAUGAAUCUUCAAGAAGCCCAAAUAGUGAUUAUAUUUGAAUAAAUAUUUUAAUGGGAAAAAUAAGGUGAAUAUGAACAGAUCCGUACAGAAGAAAUGUUAUCCUUUUAUGUCUUUAAUUCUUUAUGUAUUAUGUUUUUCUUCUAGAAUUUUCUUCCUCUUCAUCUAAUGACAUGAAUAUGCUCCAGUGGAUCCUAGGAUAUCUUUCACAUGAGGUUACCCUUGCCCUUUGGAUGUCAGGUGGAACAAAGGGAUGGAAGAUUUUUUGUACUGGGACAUUCAGUAAACCCCUAGGCCUACCUAUUGUCUAGUCAGAGUUAGAGAAGCAAAUGAUGUCUGUGAGGGCCUACAAGGCACAAGAGGAUGAAAGUUUAACUUAAAGUUUAGAUGCUGAUAUUCUAGCUAGUAAUAAUGUAUGAUUGCCUCAUGUACUACUCUUUUUUUAUAUUUCUCUCCUAAUGUAUAAAGAUGGAUUUCA
rnacentral:lncRNA from 1 species